AGUGAACGCUGGCGGUAGGCCUAACACAUGCAAGUCGAACGGCAGCACAGUAAGAGCUUGCUCUUACGGGUGGCGAGUGGCGGACGGGUGAGGAAUACAUCGGAAUCUACUUUUUCGUGGGGGAUAACGUAGGGAAACUUACGCUAAUACCGCAUACGACCUACGGGUGAAAGCAGGGGAUCUUCGGACCUUGCGCGAUUGAAUGAGCCGAUGUCGGAUUAGCUAGUUGGCGGGGUAAAGGCCCACCAAGGCGACGAUCCGUAGCUGGUCUGAGAGGAUGAUCAGCCACACUGGAACUGAGACACGGUCCAGACUCCUACGGGAGGCAGCAGUGGGGAAUAUGGGACAAUGGGCGCAAGCCUGAUCCAGCCAUACCGCGUGGGUGAAGAAGGCCUUCGGGUUGUAAAGACCUUUUGUUGGGAAAGAAAAGCAGCAGGUUAAUACCCCGCUGUUCUGACGGUACCCAAAGAAUAAGCACCGGCUAACUUCGUG
rnacentral:rRNA from 1 species